GGUAGCGUGGUCGAGCGGUCUAAGGCGCUGGUUUUAGGCACUAGUCAUUUCGAUGGCGUGGGUUCGAAUCCCACCGCUGCCA
rfam:Ciona savignyi cont_31699, whole genome shotgun sequence.